AAUCGCGAGCCGCGAGCAAUCACCAUUAUAAGAUGGCGCUGGCCUCCGCUGUGCCUAACUAGUAAACAAGCCUUGUACGCAGGUGCGAGAGUGAACUCACGCCUAGUCACUGCCCAUCUCAGUGGGGUGAUGGGCAAGCAACAAAUCAGGAGCUGACAUGCCAUAUCAGGUGCUGAAACGCCAUGGCUGAGGGCUAUAUAUAAGCAACUCCAUUUUCUGGGGUCGGGGUCUUCCCUCCUGAAGAAGCAAUAAAGCUUUUGCCGCAGAAGAUUCCGGUUGUCCCGAGUGUGUUCUUGCCGGCGGGGACAAAAGCUCGGGAUAAUCAGUUACUUCAACGUCCAACUAAGCAAGAACAUAAAACAAGGCACUAAAACAAAACAAAAAGAAAGCCCCCCCAAAUUGUUGAAUUACUUAAGCAAUCUAAAGUUUAUCCAAAAUCUAAGCAUGAGAGUUAAGGUGAAAAUAUAUUUUCAUUUAGUUAAGCCUUCUCAGUUAAUAAGGAAAGCUUUCUAAAGUUAAAAAAAAGUCAAGCUGGGUGUGCUGGCUCAUACUAUAAUCCCAAUAUAUGGGUAGCUGAUGCAAGAGGAUUGCCAGGAGUGUGAGGCCAGCCUGAAUUAUGUGUGAAAUCUUGUCUUAAAAAAAGGCAUAAUCAUGAUAAAUAUUAAACAUGUUAAUAUCAGCAAAAGUGCUUAGAAAAAUUAUAUAACGCAUAGUUAGCAUUGUGUAGGUCACUUGGUUUUAGAGCUGUUACUUUUAUUAUCUAAACAAACAGAACAAAUAUAGGAUAGUUAUCAAUUGCAGUUACAUCCACUAAGAAAAGAAAACCUAGUAGAGAAUACCUCUGCAAACACUCCACAUUUAUUCAUGAGAAGAACAAGUGGUGAGUUAAAGCAUUUGAAACUACUUGCUUAAUUUACAUGAAAGGCUUUUUUAAAAGUUACUAUGUCUUCUCAGGGUGGAGGGAGGAAGCUUUGGGCAUGCUGGGCCAGACCUUUUCCACUUAGCUGUAUCCCCAGACCUAAAAAGGCAACUGUAUCACCUGCCUUUCUCUAAUCUCACUUUAGACUUCUGAACCUCUGCCCAUGAGAACUUAGAUAGACCUUACAAGGUUAAUAGAGAAUUGCAUAGCAUGUAUUAAAAUUAAAAGCUUUAGGAACCAAGGAUGUGGCUUAGUGGUAGAAUACUUGUCUCACAUGAAUGAGGGUCUGGAUUCAAAUCCCAUUACUGAAAAAAGAAAAGUACAAAAUUUGUGUCUUUCUUUAAUUUAAGACCAUCCCUGGGUCCAGAGUUAUGACUUUUAAUGACUGGUCAUUUGAAAACUACCCCAAAGCAGGAUGUGGUCAUACCAGUCCUCUCAUCCUUCUGGAGGCAGAGGUAGGAUCUGGAUUGCACUAGGCCACCACAGCCAGGGGUACAUAGUGAGACUCUUUCUCAAAAACAACAGCAAACAAACAAACAAAAAAUAUUUUCCUGCAUAAAUAUGUCAGAUUUUGUGGUCUGACCAGGGAAAAAUAAAUAAUAAAGAAGACAAGUAGAUGAAUAGAUACAUACACAUAUACUUCCUGAAAGUAGAAUUUGGGCGUCAAAGUGCCCGCCGUGUCCAUGGAG
rnacentral:lncRNA from 1 species